rnacentral:rRNA from 1 species
UACGUAGGGCGCAAGCGUUGUCCGGAAUUAUUGGGCGUAAAGAGCUCGUAGGCGGUUUGUCGCGUCUGCUGUGAAAUCCCGAGGCUCAACCUCGGGCUUGCAGUGGGUACGGGCAGACUAGAGUGCGGUAGGGGAGACUGGAAUUCCUGGUGUAGCGGUGGAAUGCGCAGAUAUCAGGAGGAACACCAACGGCGAAGGCAGCUCUCUGGGACGUUACUGACGCUGAGACGCGAAAGCGUGGGGAGCAAACAGG